CCUACGGGUGGCUGCAGUGGGGAAUAUUGCACAAUGGGGGGAACCCUGAUGCAGCGACGCCGCGUGGGUGAAGGAGUAUUUCGGUAUGUAAAGCCCUAUCAGCAGGGAAGAACAAACACGGUACCUGACUCAGAAGCACCGGCUAAAUACGUGCCAGCAGCCGCGGUAAUACGGAUGGUGCAAGCGUUAUCCGGAUUUACUGGGUGUAAAGGGAGCGCAGGCGGCGCGGUAAGCCUGGUGUGAAAGUCCGCGGCCCAACCGCGGGACUGCAUUGGGAACUGGCGCGCGGGAGUGCCGGAGGGGUAUGCGGAAUGCCUGGUGUAGCGGUGAAAUGCGUAGAUAUUGGGAGGAACACCAGUGGCGAAGGCGGCCUGCUGGACGGUGACUGACGCUGAGGCUCGAAAGCGUGGGGAGCGAACAGGAUUAGAUACCCUAGUAGUC
rnacentral:rRNA from 1 species